UAAUUUUUUACUUUUAAACCCAAAUGUGAAACGCAUAGAAACCACCCAAGCAGUUUCACCCAUAUCCAGAUAGCCAUACGAACCAACAUUUGAAAGUUAGGCUUUACGAAUACCGUCAACAAAAUUUCCAGAAGUUUAUCAAAAUCAACAAAAACUCCUACAUAAUAACUCCCAACAAAACAUAAUUUUUGGCUAUUAAAUAAAAAUCUGAUAUAACCUUUUCCCACAUAUAAAUAGAUUUGAAACACAAUUAAAUAUACCCUUUCCACCCCUAAAAUUUCAAAUUGUUACUCAAACUUGCAAUGCUUAUUAUAUAAGCAAAUUCAGAUGCUAAAGUAGCAGCAGGAUAACGUAAUCAACGAUAGCUCAUAAGCCCACAAAGCUGUAAAUAUGGACAUGUGACCGAAAUCAAGUAACAUAAUAUUUUCAAUCUUACACUAUCAAUGUCAAACACCAAAACAGUAUAACCAAUAGCAGCAAGAUAUAUGAUGAAUAUUUACAUCUGAAACAAAUAAAUAAUGAUUUCAACACCCUCAGUCCAUAACAAUGCUAAAAAAUAACAGUACUAAUCCAUCCAUAACUUUGUAACAGUACUUAAAUAUAAACCAACGGAUAACCGAAUCGAAAAAGUGAAAAAUGCACAGUGAAAUGAUUUUCAGUCAAACCCAAAAACUCGACUUAAUCAAACGGAAAGAGUAUAUCACAAACCAACCCACUAUGUAUGAAUCGCAGUAAAUAAAUUUAAAAGGGUAUUUACCGCACGAGACCGACGAUGUGAAUUCAAUCCAUGAUACCGUAACGCCCUUUGAUGAAGCGUAACUCCGCGUAAACUCCGUUAGCUAACCACACACGCAAAACUUUGGGAGCAAACUCGAUAAACUCCCCUUUGCUGAACCGAGCUAAUAAAAAAAUGACGGAUUGGAAGUAACGGCGGAAGGUGCUUCACGAUUAGAAAACCAGAUGCGCAAUGGCGGCGGUCCUGGUCACGAUCUUGUUUGAGGCGACCUUGCCAGAAACGGACAAGUUGAAUCCGUCGGAAAUAGAGUUCGCAGAUGAGAACCGAGUGGGGNNN
rnacentral:lncRNA from 1 species